AAUCUUGCGCAAUGGGCGAAAGCCUGACGCAGCAACGCCGCGUGGGGGAUGAAGGCCUUCGGGUUGUAAACCCCUUUCAGCAGGAACGAAGCUGACGGUACCUGCAGAAGAAGCCCCGGCCAACUACGUGCCAGCAGCCGCGGUAAUACGUAGGGGGCGAGCGUUGUCCGGAUUUAUUGGGCGUAAAGAGCUCGUAGGCGGCUUGGUAAGUCGGGUGUGAAACCUCCAGGCUCAACCUGGAGCCGCCACUCGAUACUGCCAUGGCUAGAGUCCGGUAGAGGGUCACGGAAUUCCUGGUGUAGCGGUGAAAUGCGCAGAUAUCAGGAGGAACACCGGUGGCGAAGGCGGUGGCCUGGGCCGGUACUGACGCUGAGGAGCGAAAGCGUGGGGAGCAA
rnacentral:rRNA from 1 species